UCUCGCCGCCCACCUCGCAAGCCCGCCCGUCCGCCCCGCCCCGGUCGGCCCCACCCCUCCUCCUCGUGCGCCCGCCCGCCCCAAACUCCGGCAAACAAAACGCACCAUUCACAACUCUGCGACCGGAGCCGCGCAUGCGCCGCCCACCCGCUUGCGGGGCGGCUGGACUGCAGCGAGCCAGAGGUGCGGCCCUCUCACCCUUGCGGGCCCGCGGUUUCCUCUGUGUAGAACUGCUCUGCGGACAUCUGCCCGGACCUUGGAGAGAGGGAGCCGCUCGCGCGGUUCCUUUCUGUCGACUGUAUGAAACUUUGGGGCUUCUCAGCUGCUUGGAGUGACCCCAGAUUGUCACCUGAACCAAACUAAACUGAACAAAAAAAAAACCUAUGGGACAGGCUGCGGUAUGCCCAGGUCGAGUUGCAGGAGAGGCCAGAGUGAGGAGUCUGGAUGUAGCACCAAGACCUACACCAAUGGACAAGCGAGGAUGGAGUAUGGAUAUCCUGAGGUCCCUUCUGAGAUAAUGAAGAAAAAAGCCAGGUCCUUAAUGCUGGUAUAGUCUCAUCCAAAAGGCCAUCUUCUCCUCCUUGAGCUUCACACCCACCCUCGUGAUGAAAUCCAACUGCAGCUCUUACUGCUCCGGGACUGCAGGAUAUACCCAAGCACUUGGACAUGCCCAGAAGAGCCAAUGGGAUCCGAUCUCAUGCACAGUACUACCCAAGAGGAAUCCUCUGCUACUCCCGCUGGGGUGGGCACCCCUCCUAUUGACUUACAAAAGGUAAGAGCCAACUGAACUCCAGGUUGUUGACACCCAGAAGAUAGGGCACAGGUGCAACUUGCCCCUGGCUCAGGAGCACCGCUGGGUCAUCUGGGAACACCACACCAUCCACCACCGGGCUCAUGAACCACACAACCUACAAGGCAAGGGGCAUUUCCAAAUAGUCCUCCCACAUAUCCUCCCAGGAUCCCUGUAGCCUAGGGUUCCCAGCUCAGCAGGUCCCCAUCCAGAGAUUUCUUUAUCCAUAGUCCCUUUGGGAAAAGCUGGGCUUCAGUGACCCCUUGAAGGGCAGGAGAUGCUCACCCCCAGGUAUCUACUUUCCUCACCUCUUGACAAUCUUUGCUAAAUGUCACCUUCUGAAUGAAGCUUUCUUUGUCCCUCCUAUUUAAAAUUCUAUGCCUUACUUACCCUGCUCCAUUUGUCACUAUUCACUUUCCUUCUAAAGAGGUAAAUGAGUUAUUUAAGUAUAGUGAUUACUGCCUGUCUCCACUGGAACAUCAGUCCUACUUGGGAAGGAAUCUUGGUCUGAACAGUUCACUUAGUAUCCUGAAUGCCUGGCACAUAGGAGGAGGUGUUCAAUAAAUACUGUAUCACAGAACAGGGCCUGCUCACCUCCUGAGGGUCUUUCUGGGAGUUCAGGUGGAAGAAUCCCUGUAGGGGAGAGGAGGGAACUAGAGUUAAAGAAAGUCUCCCCACUGUGCUCCUUAGACAGGGUCCCUGGGGGCAGCCGGGUAUCAGGUCAGGUAGGUGGCUUACAGGUGGCCAGGUGAAGGAGCUAGAAGGAAGUUUUACCUACCAUCUUCUUAGAUACAUGCAUCACCUCAGCCCCUGAUCGUGCCCUCAGGCAGUCUACCAGAAUCCGUGUGCUGUUGUAGGUACAGCCUGCCAGGCGGGCAACUGUCUGUGGAGAAGAGGUGUUCAGGCCCAUCCUGCCCCUUCUUGCUGAGCCCUGGGGGAGAGGAGACACCCACCUUGGCCACCUUCAGCGGGUCAGGAGUGAUGAAGGCUCUGAGUGCUGCGGUGCCGCUCUGGGAAAUGGCCCGAUGAAAGAGACCGCGGGCUAGGGGUGACAUCAUCUGCAGGGGUGGGGAGUGUGGUACCCAUGAGAGGCACAAGUAGAAGUCACUUGGGCAGUUUUGGGUGCCUUUCUGGCCAGGGCUGGGCAGUGUGAAGGGGCCCAAAGAGUGCAGGCAGCUUGGGAGGGAGUCAAGAGUCCUGGGUUGGAGUCCUGGACCUACAGCCGGUGCCUUCAUGCCUGUGGGCCCCCCUAUCCUGGCCCCUGCAAUGGGCCCCAGCAGUUCCAGAGGGGAUCUGAGCUUGUGGGAAGGGUUCUGCUGGUGUAGGAAAGAGACUCUCUAUGCUUCUGGGUUAGAAAUGGGGGGGGGGGGUGUUGGUUCCUAUGGCCCCUUUAACCUGUAUUGACAGUUCUUAACUUUCUUUGCUGCCCAAGUUGGAAGAGCAACUAUAACUGGGACCCCUCAUCUUGUCUCUUGGACACUUCAGACUUCAUGUGCCCCAAACUUGUUCUAGCUGGUUCCCAUCUGAGUGGCAUCCCUCACACUACACCAUCUAUCCAGCCCCGGGGGCCUUUCCUAUCAUCUCUGCUCACCCCUCCACCCAGCUGCCCUAGUCCUGUCCAUCUGGCUUCCUGCAUCCCUCUUCAGCUACCUUCUACUUUCCAGUCUUCUUGCUUUUGUUUUAGAGGCAGGCCUUAUCCUCUCUUCUAAGAUAUACCCCACCUCCACUCCCAGAUGGCCUCCAGGCCUCUCCUGCUUCUUCCUAACUCAGUUACAGCACACUGAGCCAUCUCUCUAAAUGCACUUCUGGCUGUGUCACUUCUCUGCUUCAAAUCUUUCCCUGUUCUCCAAUGUAUUUUGAAUAAAGCUGCUUAACUUUUCUGGACUUCAAUUUAUCCAUCUGCACAAUGGAGAAAACUUCUCUUUUGGUAGAACUGUAGAAAGAGGAUGCUUCUAUUUCUGGAUUGUUGAGGGAAUUGAAUGAAUAUACAUACAGUGCUUGGAAGAGUGUUUGACACACAGAAAGUGCUUGAGCGUUUGAGUAUUAUUACUGUGGCGGGUAAAGCCCUGUGUUAUGUGGUCCCAGCUCACCUCCCUAACAUGUGUCCCACAGGGUGUACCUGACCUUACACCUACACUCCAGGCACACUCCAGGUCGGUGGUCGCCCGAGUCUCCAACCCAGGCCCCUGACUCCCAGGCUUGGUCUGUGGCCCCAGCCUUGCCCAUAAGGUGGAUGAUGCAUUCUGUUCAGGGGAUAGAGCUCUGGGGGUAGGUAGGGAGGCAGGAGGUGCUGGGUUAUCUUUCUGGCCCACCACGGAUUGGUUGAGUAUCCCUACUCUCAGCGUUGCCCGCUCUGCUGGCUUGGUUUUCUCAUCAGUGCUACCCCUGGAUGGAGUAGUACCCUUUGCAGGGGUGAGGGCAACCGGCAUGUACCUGUACACACAAAUCUGCAUAGGUGUGUGUGCAGUGGAGGAUGCACUCAUGGGAACCUGGGGACCUGCGUCUGUGCUGGGUCUGACCUGGCGCUGCACUCACCAGUCCCGAAAUACACAUGGCCCCCGAAGACUGGCCAAACAGGGUCACGCAGCGUGGGUCUCCGCCGAAGGCUGCGAUGUUCUCUUGCACCCAGCGCAAAGCAGCCACCUGGUCCAGCAGCGCCCAGUUCCCGCGGGCCUGGCUGUCGCCCGUGCUGGACGCGCGGGGCUUAUAAUCAGGGUCCGGAGCCCCCCGACCGUCUGGUUACUCAGGGCUCCAGCCUGGUUCUGCCUGGCCCCACCUCACCCUGCCUGGUCCCUCAGGCACCAGGUCUUGCGACCACACCUCUUUCCCUAGUGUUAGAUCCCCCUCUGGCGGCACUUGGGAGUGACCGCCCUCUCCAGAAGAAAUUAGGCCCCGCCCCUGCACGCACCUCUUGUAACCACGCCCCCACACCACCUCCUCUAACCUUCCGCCCAAGUCCCUGGGAAGCCGGGCCCCUGAUUCCCCGCUCCGGCCCCCGGCCCCGCCCACCUCAGGAAACCUAGGAUGCCGAGCCUGUGCUGCAGAAGCACGAGCACCACUUUCUCGCGAGAGGCCAGCUGCGUGCCAUCGUACGUGGAAGCGGAGCCCACGAGGAAGGCACCUCCUGGGAACCAGACCAUCACCUGGACAUGGAAAGCGGAGGCCUGAGCUGGGCGGUGGGGUGCCUGAGUGGGAUGGUGCGUGGAAGAGGAUGAAUACUCACCGGCAACGGAGCGUCCCCACGCGCUCGCACUGGAGCGUACACGUUCAGGUACAGACAGUCCUCACUGAAGCGCAGCCACUUGUACUGUUUCCGCGUGUUGAAGUACAUGGAGGUGAUCUGUCCCCAGGACUCCUGAAGGCACCUGCGGUCACGAUGUGAGUUUGGGCCCAACGUGGUGGCCAAAGACGGGAGAAUGGUUGCAAACCCAGGUUCCGCAAUUGAGGAAAUAGAACCAAAAGCAAAAUUUAGGAUGCGCGCGCGUGCGUGUGUGUAUCUGUGUCCGAAUAGUCUCCACUAGCAUUAGGGUCCAGGGUGAGUGCAGCGCCAGGUCAGACCCAGGGCAAGAUCCACCCCUCUGUCUUGCCCCCGGUCCCAGGAAUCUGCCUGGGGAGAGGUUCCAUGCUUCUUUUGGAGACCCUUUUGGUGCUGUCAAGCCAGAAACCUGGGUGUCCUGGGAUUUCAUGCCCCCGUCCUUCAGGCUCUUUUCUGUCUCCCAAACAGCUCUUAAAUAGGCCUUCUCCAUCCCAGAGAUGCUGCCUUGUAAAGGCCAUUACCUACACUGGCCAGGACACUGCCCCAGCCUCUUUGAUAUCACUUCCAACUCAUCCUCCACACCCUGACCGGAGGGAUUGACAGAAAACAAAAACCUAUUUCACUUCCCUCCUUAAAACCUUCCUGGGCCCCCCUGCGCUCAGGAUAAGGUUCAGAUUCACCCAUACUGACGCAGGCCCUCUCCAUCUAGUCUUCCUGGCACUCUUUGCUCUAGAUGCCCACGGACCCUUCCUUGUCUCCCAUCUCUAAGCCCUUUUGCUUAUGUCCCUUCUGCCUAAUGUUUUCUCUGCCUGGCAAACUCCUGCUUAUGUUUAAGGCUCAGCUAAAGUGGCGCCCCCUCUGCUGGGCACUUCCUGUCUGUGCUUCCCAAAGUUCUAUCCACGCUGAUUAUAGUGCUGGGUUAGAGUUGUUUCGAUUGGUUUGGUUGUUAUUCUCCCCAAGCAACCAUGCACUCCCUAGGGGCAGGGAUGGAUGUGGAUUUGUCUGAGUCCUGGCACUCAGCCCAGUGCCUUGUACCAUGUGAACAUUUGGUGUACUUGUGGAGCUUGGGCUGUUGGGCCACCUCAUCCUUUCUCCCUGCUGUCCCAGCCUGGAGUGUGGCUAUUGCCAAUAGUUGGGGCUGGGCCCAUCUGACUGGCUGCAGGAAAGCCUGUCUAUUCUACUCCUUUCUCCACUUGUUCCCUUGCUGCUCUGGCCUGAAGCUAGUCAUUAUCCAAACUGGCCACUAGUCUUCUUGUCUCCUUAACUACCAUCCCACAGUCUGUUGUAAGCCAUCCACAAAUUCUUCUACCUGUCACUCUGUGUUCCAAACAGCUAUUGUCUGACAGUUCAUGGCCAACGUUCCAACAGCUGACACUUGGACUUCUAUGCAAUGGGCACCCCAAUCUCUAAACCCCUGAUCCUCGGGGCUCUAAUAAUGGUCAUCCCCUGUUCUGUCACCUGAUCUAUGGGAUUCCACAUAACAAUCACAGAAGGUUCAGAUGUCUUGGUUUCUCUCACUGGUGGUCAGUGUUCUAACAACUAACACCCCAGUGUUCUACUAAUAGCCAUUCAUGUUCUAACAGUGGAUGCCCUGUUCUCAACAGUUAGACAUCCUGGGUGGUGGUUAUAGUUUUUAGAUAUCAACUGACACCCAGGUUCUCACAGUAGACAUUUUUCUAAACCCAGUGCUGUAUCCAACCGAUUGUUAAUGAUUGCCACAGAAUAUUCUGGUCAGUGGGUUACUCAAUGAUCUGAAUAAAUAAUAAAUAUACUUGUUCUGGGUAAAUUGCCAAGCCUAGUGCUUCAAAGGGCAGUCAUUAUCUCAACAUGCUCAUGUGACUCAGGAUUUGAGCCCUAUUAGAGGUUGCAUUAAGAUUCUGGGACUUUGGGGUGCUUGGGUGACUCGGUUGGGUUCAGGUCAUGAUCUCAGGGUCAUGGGAUUGAGCCCUGCAUGGGGCUCUGUGCUGCAUGUGGAGCCUGCUUAAGAUUCUCUCUCUCCCUCUGCCCCUCCCUUGCUCAAGCACUCGUACGUGCGCGUGCGCGCUCUCUCUCUCUCUCUGUCUGAAAAAGAAAAAAUUCUGGGACAUUAAAACUGAAACUGAGCCUGUGACUCCCUAUCUUGGAGCUCCUUCUGCAGGGAAGGGCUGAUGGUGUCAUGUGGGCUUGUUCUGGGGCUCAAGCCCCAAGUGAGUGGGAAGAGCUCAGGGUUCACUGGGUAUGGUGUGUGUGUGUGUGGGGGGGGGGAGACAGAGACAGAGACAGAGAGACGGAGACACAGACAGACAGAGACAGAGAGAACUCCUCCUCACAUACUUUUAGGAAAACUUAGGUUCCCAGAAGAUCCUGGAGGCACAUCAGUGAGCACCUCCUCCUUGUCUGGAGCUUUCCCAUAAGAAAGCCAAGAACAAACAGCAUUAACAGUCCUGUAAACAUCAUCUGGGCCAACGACUUCAUUAUAUAGGUUUGGAAACUGAGGGCCGGAAUGGACCCCAGGCUACUUACAGUCAUACAGUGCACUCUUUAGUGAGUUGUUCAAACUCUGGCCCAGAGGCCAGCAUAGAUCCACCCCCCCUCCUUAGAGUCUGCCCACCUCCCAGCCAACAGUCAUUUGGCUCUUACGCAGGGGCAUAGGUGGUGGCGUUUUUGAUUCCUUCCCAGGGCUCUGGAGGCUCUGGGGCAGCAAACCUGAGGACACCCACAGGUGGUCUGGAGAAGGGCACUCCUAGGAAGACAUUGAUGGGUGUCUUCCCAAUGUGCAUCUGUUUUCCUUGGAGGGUCCCAUAUUUGGUAAUCACUAGAGGUUCCUUGGUGUGCUGAGCACCUAGGAAGAGAGGAGAAGGGUCACUCUGGCCACUGAAAGGACUCUGGCCUGUCUGCCAUGGCACCAGUUGCAGCUUGAAGCUUUUCACAAUUGUGUAUUUUGCCUACCUUUUCUGUGUUUCUCUCAGUAUUUUUCUCUCUCAUUAUUUAAGGUUUCAAUGCUAUGUUGGUAGGUGCAUAAAGGUUCAUGUCUAUUAUAUGAAUUAUUUUUCUGUCAUUUAAUGUAUCAUUUAAUGUCAAUAAUCAUGUCAUUUAUUUUGA